GGCAGGCGCUUGGGUAGGGGGCAGGCGCUUGGGGACGGGGGGCAGGCGCUUGGGUAGGGGGGGCAGGCGCUUGGCCAGUCAAUCGCUCGCUCUGCGGCUGCAAACCCCACGCAGACAGACCAUCACUGGACGCGGCGGGUCCUCAGUCUGCUGCAGAACACAAUCCUGCCGAAAUCUACGGGAACGCGCCGGGCUUCGUCCAGCCCAGUCGCGGUGCUCGUCACACCGGCCUUCAGCGUCUCCAGCAGUCUCAAAUUAAAAAAAAACUCAA